rnacentral:rRNA from 1 species
AGCGAACGCUGGCGGCAGGCUUAACACAUGCAAGUCGAGCGGGCACUUUCGGGUGUCAGCGGCGGACGGGUGAGUAACGCGUGGGAACGUGCCCUCUGGUUCGGAAUAACUCAGGGAAACUUGAGCUAAUACCGGAUACGCCCUUUUGGGGAAAGGCUUGCUGCCGGAGGAUCGGCCCGCGUCUGAUUAGCUAGUUGGUGAGGUAACGGCUCACCAAGGCGACGAUCAGUAGCUGGUCUGAGAGGAUGAUCAGCCACACUGGGACUGAGACACGGCCCAGACUCCUACGGGAGGCAGCAGUGGGGAAUAUUGGACAAUGGGCGCAAGCCUGAUCCAGCCAUGCCGCGUGAGUGAUGAAGGCCUUAGGGUUGUAAAGCUCUUUUAUCCGGGACGAUAAUGACGGUACCGGUGGAAUAAGCCCCGGCUAACUUCGUG